CCAUCGCCAUCGCCAUCUCCAUUGGUUCAUCUUGAUGCCCAGCCAGGCGAUUGGAUUGAUUGUCCCCAUAUAUUUUACUCAGAUGCUCGGACCUAGUAUCCUUCUUUCUACCCCUCUCUCUUUGCACGGUGUCUCCUUAAUAGCAAUCAUUAUUCCUUAACCUGAAUGAGAUCUACGACGAUUCCCAACUUUUGAAAAAUCAACUGGGAGUGAACCGCAGCGCUCCCUGUUGUUGUUCCCCACACUCAAUACCUCUCCGAGGAGUAAAAGCACGGAAGCAUUCCAUUUACAUCUUUGAAAUGAGAUGAUUCCUCUGUCCGAAUAGAGGGUGGUGAAAGUUAGAAUAAAGUGAACUGAAGGGCAAUGACAGGCAUUUGAUUAUCAAGUCAUUGAGGUUAUCAAUGAAAAGAUGAGGUUAUUUUUGAAGAGAUUACUGUUUGAUAUAACGCUUCGCAGAAGUGCAAGGGCUUCAUGACCUAUCUAUAUCUAGCGGCAGCUAAUAUCCAUGGAUAUGUGGGUGGGUCACGUGGGAUAGGACUUGUGUAGGACCUCCAACAAGUUACAGUACUUCAAACCUCCUAAAAAUAAAUGUCAGGAUCAAAUUAUGUAUACAUGGGUCCCAAUCAGCACUUCAAGAAUGAAACUCAUGGUUCACAAAUGUUGCCAGUCUUUCUUUGACACGUCUUCAGUCAGGGGGGUGUUGCCACAGGCUGCAUGUGCUUGGGAAGGCGACUACGCAUAAUGUGAAGAGGCUGACGGAUGGCAAGAUUGGUUGAUUGCAGAAGAUUGCCAGCUCGGAAUACUGCGUACACUCUUCUUAUCCGCGCACGGGAACCCUGCACCAACAAGCUAUGGUCAGCAGUUAUGUAUACGAGUGGAUGGGACCGUCCGGAAUGCUAGGGCUCUUGUUUGCAGCUUGCAUACAGAGCAGCCACAUCCAGACAAAGAGCGCAUGCAACAACACGUUUGGUCAAAAAAAAUUUUUUUUUCCUUUCUUCAUCCAUCAUUGAUGGCCCGGCCUGGAGGCAGGCUAUUUCCACCCACCUCCGGGUAUUAUCGUCAAUCCUUACAUGGUUUCACACGCUGAAGAUGAAUCUCAAUUUCACAACAUACCUUGAACUUCGCGAUAUCACAUGAUAUUGUCAUCACAAAAUCAUCUACAUCUAUCUGGAUA
rnacentral:sRNA from 1 species